GCCGGGAUGGUCUAAUCGGUUACGGCAUCACCCCGGAUAGGUGAAGGUUUCGGGUUCGAUCCCCGCUCUUGGCC
rnacentral:tRNA from 2 species